rnacentral:rRNA from 1 species
GAUGAACGCUGGCGGCGUGCCUAAUACAUGCAAGUCGAGCGAACAGACGAGGAGCUUGCUCCUCUGAUGUUAGCGGCGGACGGGUGAGUAACACGUGGAUAACCUACCUAUAAGACUGGGAUAACUUCGGGAAACCGGAGCUAAUACCGGAUAAUAUAUUGAACCGCAUGGUUCAAUAGUGAAAGACGGUUUUGCUGUCACUUAUAGAUGGAUCCGCGCUGCAUUAGCUAGUUGGUAAGGUAACGGCUUACCAAGGCAACGAUGCGUAGCCGACCUGAGAGGGUGAUCGGCCACACUGGAACUGAGACACGGUCCAGACUCCUACGGGAGGCAGCAGUAGGGAAUCUUCCGCAAUGGGCGAAAGCCUGACGGAGCAACGCCGCGUGAGUGAUGAAGGUCUUCGGAUCGUAAAACUCUGUUAUUAGGGAAGAACAAAUGUGUAAGUAACUAUGCACGUCUUGACGGUACCUAAUCAGAAAGCCACGGCUAACUACGUG